rnacentral:rRNA from 1 species
UACUCAGUUCAGAUUGCAGGCUGCAACCCGCCUGCAUGAAGUCGGAAUUGCUAGUAAUCGCGGAUCAGCAUGCCGCGGUGAAUACGUUCCCGGGCCUUGUACACACCGCCCGUCACACCAUGGGAGCCGGUAAUACCCGAAGUCAGUAGUCCAACCUCGUGAGGACGCUGCCGAAGGUAGGAUUGGCGACUGGGGGUGAAGUCGUAACAAGGUACC